UGGAGCAUGUCGUGGUUGAGCGUGCCAGUGAGGACUACUUGGCCAAGCUCGUUUAGGCAAACCGACAUAUCCUCACUGGGAACUAAGCCGUUUACGAGUCCCUCAAGGAUGAGCGAAAGGCCGAUGGCAUUCGCCAUAUGAUGGUCUGCCUUCAUGCCAAGCAGCAUAAGUUUUUCGACAAGCUCAACAAGAAAGAAACACCAUCUAAGGAGAGCGAU
rnacentral:lncRNA from 1 species